UUGAUUCAAAUCAUGGAUUCAGACAUAAGACGGAUUCCUGCAUGAAGACGGCGCCGGAGCGCCGAAGCACGGAUCGCUUCCACAGGUUUGAAGGGUUGAAGGCCAAAAGGCCAUUCAGUAAUGAUCCCUCCGCAGGUUCACCUACGGAGA
rnacentral:misc_RNA from 1 species